CUACGUAGGUGGCGAGCGUUGUCCGGAAUUACUGGGCGUAAAGGGCGCGCAGGCGGGUUUUUAAGUCAGAAGUGUAAUCUACGGGCUCAACCUGUAGUUUGGUUCUGAUACUGGAAAUCUUGAGGGUAGGAGAGGACAGUGGAAUUCCUAGUGUAGCGGUGAAAUGCGUAGAUAUUAGGAGGAACACCAGUGGCGAAGGCGGCUGUCUGGCCUACAACUGACGCUGAGGCGCGAAAGCGUGGGGAGCGAACAGGAUUAGAUACCCUGGUAGUCCACGCCGUAAACGAUGGGUACUAGGUGUAGGAGGUAUCGACCCCUUCUGUGCCGGAGUUAACACAAUAAGUACCCCGCCUGGGGACUACGGCCGCAAGGUUAAA
rnacentral:rRNA from 1 species